AUGCUGGAGGUAUCAGAAGUGCGAAUGCUGACAUAAGUAACGAUAAAGCGGGUGAAAAGCCCGCUCGCCGGAAGACCAAGGGUUCCUGUCCAACGUUAAUCGGGGCAGGGUGAGUCGACCCCUAAGGCGAGGCCGAAAGGCGUAGUCGAUGGGAAACAGGUUAAUAUUCCUGUACUUGGUGUUACUGCGAAGGGGGGACGGAGAAGGCUAUGUUAGCCGGGCGACGGUUGUCCCGGUUUAAGCAUGUAGGCUGGUUAUCCAGGCAAAUCCGGAUAAUCAAGGCUGAGGUGUGAUGACGAGGCACUACGGUGCUGAAGUAACAAAUGCCCUGCUUCCAGGAAAAGCCUCUAAGCAUCAGGUAACAUCAAAUCGUACCCCAAACCGACACAGGUGGUCAGGUAGAGAAUACCAAGGCGCUUGAGAGAACUCGGGUGAAGGAACUAGGCAAAAUGGUGCCGUAACUUCGGGAGAAGGCACGCUGGUGUGUAGGUGAAGUCCCUGCGGAUGGAGCUGAGACCAGUCGAAGAUACCAGCUGGCUGCAACUGUUUAUUAAAAACACAGCACUGUGCAAACACGAAAGUGGACGUAUACGGUGUGACGCCUGCCCGGUGCCGGAAGGUUAAUUGAUGGGGUUAUCCGUAAGGAGAAGCUCUUGAUCGAAGCCCCGGUAAACGGCGGCCGUAACUAUAACGGUCCUAAGGUAGCGAAAUUCCUUGUCGGGUAAGUUCCGACCUGCACGAAUGGCGUAAUGAUGGCCAGGCUGUCUCCACCCGAGACUCAGUGAAAUUGAACUCGCUGUGAAGAUGCAGUGUACCCGCGGCAAGACGGAAAGACCCCGUGAACCUUUACUAUAGCUUGACACUGAACAUUGAGCCUUGAUGUGUAGGAUAGGUGGGAGGCUUUGAAGCGUGGACGCCAGUCUGCGUGGAGCCAACCUUGAAAUACCACCCUUUAAUGUUUGAUGUUCUAACGUUGGCCCCUGACCGGGGUUGCGGACAGUGUCUGGUGGGUAGUUUGACUGGGGCGGUCUCCUCCCAAAGCGUAACGGAGGAGCACGAAGGUUAGCUAAUCCUGGUCGGACAUCAGGAGGUUAGUGCAAUGGCAUAAGCUAGCUUGACUGCGAGCGUGACGGCGCGAGCAGGUGCGAAAGCAGGUCAUAGUGAUCCGGUGGUUCUGAAUGGAAGGGCCAUCGCUCAACGGAUAAAAGGUACUCCGGGGAUAACAGGCUGAUACCGCCCAAGAGUUCAUAUCGACGGCGGUGUUUGGCACCUCGAUGUCGGCUCAUCACAUCCUGGGGCUGAAGUAGGUCCCAAGGGUAUGGCUGUUCGCCAUUUAAAGUGGUACGCGAGCUGGGUUUAGAACGUCGUGAGACAGUUCGGUCCCUAUCUGCCGUGGGCGCUGGAGAAUUGAGGGGGGCUGCUCCUAGUACGAGAGGACCGGAGUGGACGCAUCACUGGUGUUCGGGUUGUCAUGCCAAUGGCACUGCCCGGUAGCUAAAUGCGGAAGAGAUAAGUGCUGAAAGCAUCUAAGCACGAAACUUGCCCCGAGAUGAGUUCUCCCUGAGACUU
rnacentral:rRNA from 1 species